GAAAGAUGAUUUCUAAGCCUAUGUAAAAUGCUAACACACAAACAAUAAUAUACAAAGAAUUCCUUUGUAUUCAUAGUAUCUCUCUACCCAAGAGUGCAAGUAACCUUUUAAAGUAAUUUCUCUCUUCUCAUGCCUAAAUGGAACUGGAAUUAGCAGUUUGUUUUGAUUCAUUCACAGAAGAAACUAAGGCUUGGAGAGAAGAAGGAACAUGCAUGCCCUCAGGUAAAUAAGAAUACAUUCAAGGAGCCAGGAAUAAUAAUAAUUUUUAAUACAGAUGGCUUAAAUUUUUUUACUUUCACUUUUCUUACAGAGAUUCUGACACUUGGCACUAAGAAUUGACAACUGAGACCAUUUUCAAUUUCUUCCCACAUUCAUACUCAUAAUAAGAGUAAAACAUGG
rnacentral:lncRNA from 1 species